rnacentral:tRNA from 1 species
AAUAUGGUGCCUGAUAAAAGGGUAGUUUUGAUGGGACUAAUUAUGUAAAGUUUACUCAUAUUA